rnacentral:rRNA from 1 species
GAUGAACGCUGGCGGCGUGCCUAAUACAUGCAAGUCGAGCGAACGGACGAGAAGCUUGCCUCUCUGAUGUUAGCGGCGGACGGGUGAGUAACACGUGGAUAACCUACCUAUAAGACUGGGAUAACUUCGGGAAACCGGAGCUAAUACCGGAUAAUAUUUUGAACCGCAUGGUUCAAAAGUGAAAGACGGUCUUGCUGUCACUUAUAGAUGGAUCCGCGCUGCAUUAGCUAGUUGGUAAGGUAACGGCUUACCAAGGCAACGAUGCAUAGCCGACCUGCGAGGGUGAUCGGCCACACUGGAACUGAGACACGGUCCAGACUCCUACGGGAGGCAGCAGUAGGGAAUCUUCCGCAAUGGGCGAAAGCCUGACGGAGCAACGCCGCGUGAGUGAUGAAGGUCUUCGGAUCGUAAAACUCUGUUAUUAGGGAAGAACAUAUGUGUAAGUAACUGUGCACAUCUUGACGGUACCUAAUCAGAAAGCCACGGCUAACUACGUG